GCUAGAAGAAGCAAAAGUCGUAACAAGGUUGCUGUAGGUGAACCUGCAGAAGGAUCA
rnacentral:rRNA from 1 species